GACAACAUUCAAAUCAUGUUCAAAGUACCAGUUCUCGUCUGAUCACUGAAGUCAAGCAAUGUUGACCAUGGUUAGUACUUAGGUAGGUGACCGCUUGGAAAUAUCGUGUAAUGUUAUCC
rnacentral:rRNA from 1 species